rnacentral:rRNA from 1 species
UGCGUAGGUGGCGCCAUAAGUCAGGUGUGAAAUCUCGGGGCUCAACCUCGAAACUGCACUUGAUACUGUGGUGCUUGAGUACUGGAGAGGAGAUUGGAAUUUACGGUGUAGCAGUGAAAUGCGUAGAUAUCGUGAGGAAGACCAGUUGCGAAGGCGGAUCUCUGGGCAGUUCCUGACACUGAGGCACGAAGCCAGGGGAGCAAACG